rnacentral:rRNA from 1 species
GCGGUAAUACGGAGGAUCCGAGCGUUAUCCGGAUUUAUUGGGUUUAAAGGGUGCGUAGGCGGCCUUUUAAGUCAGCGGUGAAAGUCUGUGGCUCAACCAUAGAAUUGCCGUUGAAACUGGGGGGCUUGAGUAUGUUUGAGGCAGGCGGAAUGCGUGGUGUAGCGGUGAAAUGCUUAGAUAUCACGCAGAACCCCGAUUGCGAAGGCAGCCUGCCAAGCCAUGACUGACGCUGAUGCACGAAAGCGUGGGGAUCAAACAGGAUUAGAUACCCUGGUAGUCCACGCAGUAAACGAUGAUCACUAGCUGUUUGCGAUACAGUGUAAGCGGCACAGCGAAAGCGUUAAGUGAUCCACCUGGGGAGUACGCCGGCAACGGUGAAACUCAAAGGAAUUGACGGGGGCCCGCACAAGCGGAGGAACAUGUGGUUUAAUUCGAUGAUACGCGAGGAACCUUACCCGGGCUUAAAUUGCAGAUGAAUUACGGUGAAAGCCGUAAGCCGCAAGGCAUCUGUGAAGGUGCUGCAUGGUUGUCGUCAGCUCGUGCCGUGAGGUGUCGGCUUAAGUGCCAUAACGAGCGCAACCCUUGCCACUAGUUACUAACAGGUGAUGCUGAGGACUCUGGUGGGACUGCCAGCGUAAGCUGCGAGGAAGGCGGGGAUGACGUCAAAUCAGCACGGCCCUUACAUCCGGGGCGACACACGUGUUACAAUGGCGUGGACAAAGGGAUGCCACCUGGCGACAGGGAGCGAAUCCCCAAACCACGUCUCAGUUCGGAUCGGAGUCUGCAACCCGACUCCGUGAAGCUGGAUUCGCUAGUAAUCGCGCAUCAGCCAUGGCGCGGUGAAUACGUUCCCGGGCCUUGUACACACCGCCCGUCAAGCCAUGGGAGCCGGGGGUACCUGAAGUGCGUAACCGCGAGGAGCGCCCUAGGGUAAAACUGGUGACUGGGGCUAAGUCGUAACAAGGUAGCCGUACCGGAAGGUGCGGCUG